rnacentral:rRNA from 1 species
UACGGAGGGGGCGAGCGUUGUUCGGAAUUACUGGGCGUAAAGAGCACGUAGGCGGCUUUGUAAGUUAGAGGUGAAAGCCCGGGGCUCAACCCCGGAAUUGCCUUUAAGACUGCAUCGCUAGAAUUGUGGAGAGGUAAGUGGAAUUCCGAGUGUAGAGGUGAAAUUCGUAGAUAUUCGGAAGAACACCCGUGGCGAAGGCGACUUACUGGACACAUAUUGACGCUGAGGUGCGAAAGCGUGGGGAGCAAACAGG